rnacentral:piRNA from 1 species
UAAUCUCCUUUCUAGAUGUUAAGACUUUACACC